ACAGUGUCUGUUUCUCUCCUUAGUGGUUCAAGGGUUAACUGCAGAUACAUGAAAGGCAUUGUGAUUUGGGGGUAGAUGCCCCAGGAAGCCUUUUGUCUCCAAAAGUCUUUCCUGCAUCUUGGUGUCUUCUAAAAUAGCUUGUGUCUCAGAGGGCUACUGAUGAAGCCAGCUUCCCCAGGAGGUGUGUGUUACACCAGCCCGCCUCUUCCCCAGGAGGUGUGUAUUACACCAGCCCGCCUCUUCCCUAGGAGGUGUGUGUUACACUAGCCCGCCUCUUCCCCGGGAGGUGUGUGCUACACCAGCCCGCCUCUUCCACCUUUGGUGCUUCAUUAUCUCAGAAUCAAAACCUCUGAAGAGGUGUUCGUUUAAAUGAACUCAGAAGUAAAUCUUUAGAGGACCAGUUGAAGAAGGGGGGAGAUGUAACAGGAGAAUAUGUCUAUCUAGGAGUUGUUAAUUGUUGGCUAUUUUACUUUCAUGUCUCAUUCAUUACAAUAAUCUUAGAAGAUCUUCGUGGUAUAGAUAUGAAAUGGUCCUAGCUUACAAGGAAGUACAGCCAGUAAAGGAAAUAACUUAAUUAUAACCCCAAAUCUGGCUAACUCCAUGCCCACACAGCCCUGCCAUGUUAGGCCCUGGUGGAAAGCACGAGAGAUUCACUAAUGCUGCUGUCCUUCCU